GGGAGUGACUGGGUCCUGGUGGGCCCCGCGGGCUUCAAACCCGUUGUUGGGCGGUAAAACCGUCCAUGGUAGGUUCGAUUCCUAUUCACUCCC
rnacentral:tRNA from 24 species